CAUACACACUCUUCACAUACAUGCACAUACACUCCUCUAGUCUCUAUAUAAAUUAUGUGUGCAUACACACACACACACAGACACCCAUCACUGAAGCCCCCUGCCAAGCCUGAAGCAUGGAAGGAGGAUCUGUAUUCUCUUCAAGACCACCACCCCAAUUCCUGGAAUUGCAGAGUUAGAAGGAGCAAAAGGAAAGCAGAGCCAUCCAACAUAAGCUGAUCAUCGAAGUCCCCUGCUCCUCAGUCUAUAUAUGUGUGGGCGUUUAUACAUGUAUGUGUAUGUAAGUUAACACAGUCAUGUGCCCCUUAACCACAAGUUCCAUUCUGAGAAAUGCGUUGCUAGGCAAUUUCGUCGGUAAGCAAACAUCACAGAGUAUACUGACACAACCCUACACGGUACCAUCUACCACUUGCCGGGACUAUGAGCCAAUAGCCUACUGCUACCCACUGCAAAUCUGUGUAGCAUGGUUCUGCACUAGCGCUGCGGGCACCUGUAACGUACCAGGAAGGAUCUGUGCAUCUAAACACAGAAAAGGCACAAGAUGAUGUAAGAAGUGAAAGAAAGCACCAAGCCCUGGGGCGGACGCCGACAGAGAGACCUCUACAAAGUCAUGAUCCCCAAAUGUCCACACACUCAGGGAAACGGUGGACUAAGGAAUGCCCGCCUAGAAAAGGAGAAUGGACAGAGAAACAGAUAUGCCCAACAAAGACUUCAUGCUGCAAGCCACCCCUAUUCUCAGCUAGCCCUGGAUUACACACAUGUUCAUGCCUGGCAUGUUCACGAAGGUCUUCAUACAUGAACCUUGAACUUCAUGUGGGACAGCCUCACACGCCAUUGGCUUACCAUCCAGCCUCUGACAGACA